rnacentral:rRNA from 1 species
ACCUGCCUUGGAGAGGGGGAAGUAACAACUCCGAAAGGAGUGCUAAUACCGCAUGAUGCAGUUGGGUCGCAUGGCUCUGACUGCCAAGAUUUAUCGCUCUGAGAUGGCCUCGCGUCUGAUUAGCUAGUAGGCGGGGGUAACGGCCCACCUAGGCGACGAUCAGUAGCCGGACUGAGAGGUUGACCGGCCACCAUUGGGACUGAGACACGGCCCAGACUCCUACGGGAGGCAGCAUG